GUUGAUAUUGUUGUUUCACGCAAUGAACUCCUCAAAAUGGGUGUUCGAUACUGAUGGAGAGCUUCCAACAGUUGAGACACUACGAGUCGAACGCAAGUUUUCAGCCGUAGUGUUGGAGAGCCCGUAGACCCUAUUUUUAUCGGGUCCACCAGACGAUUCCGCCUCCAUCCACAAAUCUGGAUCGAAAUCUGGAUGGGUCGACGGAUUGUCCCCAUAUCUCUCCCUCAACCGGCUAUUAUAGGUCUACUGAAAAUUCCAUCGGUAAAAAAAUCAUCAAAUGCAAUUCAAGAUGCAAUUCAAGAAAAUAAUAACUUACAAAAUAAAAUGAAUGAACGAACAUACCACGAAGUGCUGAGCACGGUUGUCCACGAACUGCUGCACCCC
rnacentral:lncRNA from 1 species